UCCCAGGUGGCUCAGUGGUAAAGAAUCUGCCGGGCAGUGCAGGAGACCCGGGUUCAAUCCCUGGCUCGGGAA
rnacentral:tRNA from 1 species